rnacentral:rRNA from 1 species
GACGAACCACACGAACGUUAUUCGGAAUUACUGGGCUUAAAGGGCGCGUAGGCGGCUUUGCAAGUGACGGGUGAAAUCCCUCGGCUUAACCGAGGAACUGCCUGUCAAACUGCAUGGCUUGAGACCGGGAGAGGUGAGUGGAAUUCCCAGUGUAGCGGUGAAAUGCGUAGAUAUUGGGAGGAACACCAGUGGCGAAGGCGGCUCACUGGACCGGUACUGACGCUGAUGCGCGAAAGCGUGGGGAGCGAACAGG